UCUACGUAGAAGCUUCUGAGACUUCACCAUUGAUGGAUUUCCUUUCUGUGCUUGCAAAGUAUUUCCGAGGGAGCCUCUGUCAGAGCCACCAGACCUACUGCCUGAAUUACUCUGCGGCUGUGUUUUAUCUUGAGAGCUUGAGGCAGAGAGAUGACUUCAGCACUUAUUUAAAAGUAAAGUA
rnacentral:lncRNA from 1 species